rnacentral:misc_RNA from 1 species
UUUAGCCUUGGCUGGAGAUCAGCGGCAACAAAAGUGUCUGCCCUGCGCUGCAGGCGGCUGAUUCGGUUAUGAAAACCGCCGUGGCGGGCUAUCCUACAAGGGUCGCUAUCACACAUACACGCCCACGCACAGCAUUACAUACAUAUACACGCGUGGGUGUCCCCCAGCGCAUUUGGUUGCGUUCUCCGCCACAGCACGAACGAGGCGUAGCCACUAUCCGCACCACCUCUCUUCCUACUUCUCAUCGCACAAAAAAAAAACGCGCUGCUCCUAUCAAAUCCCCGAGGCCGCGCUGACACCGUUCUGCAGCACCGCAGAUGCACAGCUCGCGGCGUUCACGUAGAGGGGAGCAGCAGCAAACACGCGAAUUCAGCACCAGUGCUAGCGGCGCCGUCGAGGUAGUGCUUCGCUUUGCCGCCGCCGACGAAAAGACCAACCGCGGCGCUGGCAUUCAUGCUAAGGCUGACCGCGUCGCCAGCGAGCACAAGACAGAGCAGUGCAUCGCACUCAUAGACUACCAUGCGCUCGACGACGACGAGAUCAGCUUCAGGGCCGGCGAUGUAAUCAACGUAACAGGGAAGGGGACUGCCUCUGGGUUCUGGGAGGGUUACGUGGCCACCCCGGUCUCUCCCGCGCUCGCCACGGCCGAGCUCAGUGACGCGGAGCACAGCAGCUCUCUCUCGCACUCCCCCAGCGCCUCUCUGCUGUCGCCACAACCCCAGCAGCGCUGCACGCGCGGCCUCUUCCCGAACUGUCUCGUCACUUCCAACAUGCGCCUCAAGCACUCCUUGUCACACUACGCCUUGCAGAAUGUUGCGCUGUGCCUGUACGCGUACCAGGCCACCGGCGAUGGCGAAAUGUCGUUCGUCCAUGGCGACGUGAUCACGGCGGUGCGGCCCAGCUCUUCACCGGGGUGGUGGUACGGCGUCAAAAGCGGCGGACCUGCGUGGGUGGCACCGGGCACGGCGGCCUCAAAUCGUUUUGUCGAUCCGGCGGCCGCCACCGAUUUCUCUGCGUCCCGCGCAGUCCGAAAAACACAGGCGACGAUGGAUGCAGCGCUGCAAGGGGGCACCACCGCGCCAGCUGGUGACGGAAAAGGUGAGGAGCGCCUUUUUCCCACGAACUUCGUGACGUGUGACGUGGUGCAGGCCAACUUCAGCUUUGCCGGUCGCCAGCCGCACGAGCUGAGCUGCAAAGUCGGCGAUAUCAUUCAGGUGCAUCGCCGUUGGAAUGAUGGUUGGUGGGAAGGCUCCCUGCGCGGCCGCCGCGGCAUCUUCCCGAGUAACUACACCAUCCCUAAUAUCACCACAACAGCGCCUCCACUCUUUUGCGCGCGGUGCCGCACCGUCUACGCGUCCAGCAUGUUCUACUCGACAUGCGCCACAUGCAUGGCGGAGGAGCGGGUCGAGGAUGCGAUGAUGCAGGCCGUGGAAGCGUACGUGCGCGGCGAGGCAACAGAGCUCGACCUCUUCGCCAACGUCGACAUCGGUCUACACACGCCGUCAGAGGCAUCCUCUGUCAACGACGGUGAAGUCAGCGUUGACGGUGCCUUGAGGCAGUCUUCUCGCGAGGCUAACCACGACGACUCGCGCAACUUGACGAGAGGCCUCAGCGUAGUCAUCCCCAGCACCUGCAACGACGGGGGCACCUCUCGUCGGCGCCAGUGCCGCCGUAGCGGUAGCAGACCGUCUGAGGCUCGCGUUUCACUGCUCACGGAGAAGGACAUGGCUGACUUGGCCUCCAACCGGGUGAAGCUGAUGGAGUGACCCCUCCCCACACCGAUCCCACGGAAUCUGCUGCCUUUCUUUGUGUGCGCGCUGUGUGGGGAUGAAGAAUGGACAUGAGGGAAGAAAAGGGGUGGGGGAGACAUCGGCGACAUGACGACACUUCGUGAAUUUCGUCUCACUGAGCCACUACCUCAUCGUCCAAACACUUGAAGUUGCACUACAGGCGCUGCAGCGGGCCAUCAUUAGGAGUUGGUCAGGCGCGCCAGAGAAGGAGCGCGUGUGGCUAUUAAAAAAGAAAGCGAGGAGAGCGGACGUGCUGCUGCCUUUGUUGUCAUUUUCUCUCCUCCCCUACGCUUACACCUCUUGUGUGGUUCCACCUCCAUGUGCUCCGUGCUGCUUGGCACCUAUCGUUCUUCUUGCUCCCCUCCUUCCCCCCGCUCGCUCCAUUCCCCUCUCGCUUCUCCUGCGCUGCUUGGUGUCGUACUCCAGUUCAGAACAUAAAAAAAAAACAUCCUUUUUUUUCGAAACCCACGUAUGCCUGUCGUGCAACACAGUCGUACGCAGGGUUGCUACUCUUCUCGCACGGUCGUGCUGUGUUGCCUGAGGGCCACCACCGUCUGUCACACCUUUCGCCCUUACUAACAGGGCAUAGCGUACAAGGCAGGCUGGCGCGUGAUGCUCUGUAACUUGCGUCCACUGUGCACACAUCGCCUUCACUGCGUUCUUCGGCUUCCUUAUUUCCGUUUCACCAUCGCUGUGCUGGACUCCUAUUUCGCGUGAUUCAACUCGUCGUGAAAACAG